rnacentral:ncRNA from 1 species
UCGUACUGUGCCGUUAGAGGUGAAAUUCUUGGAUCGGCGCAAGACGAACGACUGCGAAAGCAUUUGCCAAGAAUGUUUUCUUUAAUCAAGAGCGAAAGUCAGAGGUUCGAAGACGAUCAGAUACCGUCCUAGUUCUGACUAUAAACGAUGCCAACUAGCGAUCGGGGGGCGUUACAUUGACGACCCCUCCGGCAGCUUACGGGAAACCAAAGUCUUUGGGUUCCGGGGGAAGUAUGGUUGCAAAGCUGAAACUUAACUCUUUCCCUCCCAACUCGCCAUAUAUGGCGAGUUGGUGGGAAAACAUGG